AGAAAUCCCACCCAUAUAUUUCCAUGCAGUGGCUACUACAGAUGUUCCAUAAUUGACAGGCUGCUGGGGCUGGUAAUAAAAAGGCAAUGCAUACACCUGGACAUAUAUGCUAAGAGAGAGAACUUCCUGGCAGAAGGUUUGAUUCAAUUUAAGAGAGGAUACAUCAAGCACUUAAGGAUUUCGCAAGGAUUGAUUGAUUAUUUAUCAUGUAAUAUUGCCUGAAGUGCUUUGAUGGAGUCGUAUGUGCCGGGAUACUUGGAUGGCGAAUUAGUCCUCUGAAAGAAUAACGUCGAGCAAAGGCAUUAACGUAAUGACUCUUCUUAAAGGGGACAUGACACCAUGUGCAAGAGACUAGAAAAGAAACAGGUGACACUCAAUGUGACGGUGGCGCAUACCAAAGACGGAUGUGCUCUCCGAGUACAAUUUGGUGUUCAUAUGUAGUGAAACCUUCUGCCUUCCCGUCCGCAAAAAUGAACCCUACUUCAGGAUUCAGUAAAACAGGUGAGAGAGAGAGAGAGAGAAACUAUUUUUGGGUUUGCCACAUUUCAUCUUUAAAGGUAAUUUGGGGUACUUUUAGUGUCUCCGGGAGUGGUGACCCUGAGGCGCCGAAACUCACUGGAUGUAUUGGCUCACUGGGUGUAUGCACUGCACCACAAACUCUUCAUCUUUUGGCACUAACCCCUUUGUUUCCUGCCCUUCUAGCUAGGAUCAGGGAAAUUUUUUUAUAGAUUAGGCUGGAUGUCCGGGCCAUAUUUCACAGCGCACAUUCACUUAUUUAAUUGUUUGGCUUUUUGAUCACUGUGCCACUUUAUAUGUGUUGUUUUCGUCACUAGGAUUGGUCAGGGUGCAGUAGCCCUUUUAGGUGUCCCUCCUGCUGGUCUAGGGGAGGUGUGUGUGUGGCCAUUAGGUUCCUCGUCUCCCUGCAAACCCUGGGCAUUCCUGCAUGCCAUUGAUAUACGUCUCUGCGGGUGGAUGCCUGGGCUAACACCUAGAUUGACACCGAGAGCACUUGUGGUCUCC